rnacentral:rRNA from 1 species
GACGAACGCUGGCGGCGUGCUUAACACAUGCAAGUCGAACGGAAAGGCCCUGCUUUUGUGGGGUGCUCGAGUGGCGAACGGGUGAGUAACACGUGAGUAACCUGCCCUUGACUUUGGGAUAACUUCAGGAAACUGGGGCUAAUACCGGAUAGGAGCUCCUGCUGCAUGGUGGGGGUUGGAAAGUUUCGGCGGUUGGGGAUGGACUCGCGGCUUAUCAGCUUGUUGGUGGGGUAGUGGCUUACCAAGGCUUUGACGGGUAGCCGGCCUGAGAGGGUGACCGGCCACAUGGGGACUGAGAUACGGCCCAGAAGCCUACGGGAGGCAGCAGUGGGGAAUAUUGCACAAUGGGCGGAAGCCUGAUGCAGCAACGCCGCGUGCGGGAUGACGGCCUUCGGGUUGUAAACCGCUUUCGCCUGUGACGAAGCGUGAGUGACGGUAAUGGGUAAAGAAGCACCGGCUAACUACGUG